rnacentral:tRNA from 1 species
GGGGAUGUAGUUCAUAUAGUAAAGCGAUCGCUUUGCAUGCGAUAGGUACGGGGAUCAAUACCUCGCAUUUCCA